rnacentral:rRNA from 1 species
UGGGGAAUUUUGGACAAUGGGCGCAAGCCUGAUCCAGCCAUGCCGCGUGCGGGAAGAGGGCCUUCGGGUUGUAAACCGCUUUUGUCAGGGAAGAAAUCUUCUGAGUUAAUACCUCGGGAGGAUGACGGUACCUGAAGAAUAAGCACCGGCUAACUACGUGCCAGCAGCCGCGGUAAUACGUAGGGUGCAAGCGUUAAUCGGAAUUACUGGGCGUAAAGCGUGCGCAGGCGGUUUUGUAAGACAGAGGUGAAAUCCCCGGGCUCAACCUGGGAACUGCCUUUGUGACUGCAAGGCUUGAGUGCGGCAGAGGGGGGAUGGAAUUCCGCGUGUAGCAGUGAAAUGCGUAGAUAUGCGGAGGAACACCGAUGGCGAAGGCAAUCCCCUGGGCCUGCACUGACGCUCAUGCACGAAAGCGUGGGGAGCAAAACAGAAUUAGAUACCCUGGUAGUCCACGCCCUAAAACGAUGUCAACUGGUUGUUGGGGAAGGUCCCUUCUCAGUAACGUAGCUAACGCGUG